UCUCAUCAUGGGAUAAACAAGCUGACUGCACUCCUUUUCACCUUGAUACAACACACUUUCAUUUACUCUGCAUAAUAGGUAUUCACUAAGACAUCUAUCUCCACAGGAGAACCAUUUUUAGGUAAAACAUAGACCAAAUAUGCAUCACCAAGUCACCAUGGCAACAAAUGCGGGCUGGAAGUAUGGAGCAGAGAGGCCUAGAGGCCCGAACAAAGUGGAGAUGACCAGUGGGCCCUGAGUGGAGUGGGGAUGGGCUGUGACUUGGAGGCCUGAGCAAUGAGGGACAGUUGUUGGACUGGAGACCAGUGCAGGCCUGCAAGCUGAGGCAGACCAUGUGUGGAAGCCCCUCACCCUGAUCUACUGAAAGACUAUAAUGCUUAUCUUUUUAACUUUAUUCUAAUUUUUCUAAUUUGUAUGAUGAACAACUGUAAAUAAUGUAACUUUUGUUCCUUUCGUUUCCCUUUAUUUCUGUACUUUAUAUCUAAAAUAGGUACUUUGUACCUAAGAUGGCAGCCUAUGGGGCGACAUUGUAAACUUUUCAUUGUAUUCCUGUACUUCUGUA